AGAGUUUGAUCCUGGCUCAGGAUGAACGCUAGCGGCAGGCUUAACACAUGCAAGUCGAACGGUAACAGAAAAAGCUUGCUUUUUGCUGACGAGUGACGAACGGGUGCGUAACGCGUAUGCAAUCUACCUUUAACUGAGGGAUAGCCCAGAGAAAUUUGGAUUAAUACCUCAUAACAUUACGAAUUCGCAUGUUUUUGUAAUUAAAACUCCGGUGGUUAAAGAUGAGCAUGCGUGACAUUAGCUAGAUGGUAAGGUAACGGCUUACCAUGGCAACGAUGUCUAGGGGGUCUUAAAGGAUGAUCCCCCACACUGGUACUGAGACACGGACCAGACUCCUACGGGAGGCAGCAGUGAGGAAUAUUGGUCAAUGGACGCAAGUCUGAACCAGCCAUGCCGCGUGAAGGAUGACGGCCCUCUGGGUUGUAAACUUCUUUUAUAUAGGAAGAAACCCUCUUACGUGUAAGAGGCUGACGGUACUAUACGAAUAAGCACCGCUAACU
rnacentral:rRNA from 1 species